rnacentral:rRNA from 1 species
GUGCCAGCAGCCGCGGUAAUACGUAGGAGGCUAGCGUUGUCCGGAUUCAUUGGGCGUAAAGGGAGCGCAGGUGGCCGAGUUAGUCCGUGGUGCAAUCUCCAGGCUCAACUUGGAGAGGUCUACGGAUACUGCUCGGCUUGAGGACGGUAGAGGAGCACGGAAUUCCUGGUGUAGUGGUGAAAUGCGUAGAUAUCAGGAGGAACACCCGUGGCGAAAGCGGUGCUCUGGGCCGAUCCUGACACUCAGGCUCGAAAGCGUGGGGAGCAAACCGGAUUAGAUACCCGGGUAGUCCACGCCCUAAACGAUGAGUGCUGGGUAUGGGGGGUAUCGACCCCCUCCGUGCCGAAGCUCACGCGUUAAGCACUCCGCCUGGGGACUACGGCCGCAAGGCUAAAACUCAAAGGAAUUGACGG